rnacentral:rRNA from 1 species
UGAACGCUGGCGGCAGGCCUAACACAUGCAAGUCGAGCGGAUGAAGAGAGCUUGCUCUCUGAUUCAGCGGCGGACGGGUGAGUAAUGCCUAGGAAUCUGCCUGGUAGUGGGGGACAACGUUUCGAAAGGAACGCUAAUACCGCAUACGUCCUACGGGAGAAAGCAGGGGACCUUCGGGCCUUGCGCUAUCAGAUGAGCCUAGGUCGGAUUAGCUAGUUGGUGGGGUAAUGGCCUACCAAGGCGACGAUCCGUAACUGGUCUGAGAGGAUGAUCAGUCACACUGGAACUGAGACACGGUCCAGACUCCUACGGGAGGCAGCAGUGGGGAAUAUUGGACAAUGGGCGAAAGCCUGAUCCAGCCAUGCCGCGUGUGUGAAGAAGGUCUUCGGAUUGUAAAGCACUUUAAGUUGGGAGGAAGGGCAUUAACCUAAUACGUUAGUGUUUUGACGUUACCAACAGAAUAAGCACCGGCUAACUUC